rnacentral:lncRNA from 1 species
AGGCACUGUUACUGUGAUAUUUUGAAUUUCACAGAACUUUUUGACAUCGAUGUUUGCACUUAUUAGUGUUACAAUAACAUAUGCAGUGGCCAAGGUAAUAGCAGAUGAUGAAACUUUUUUGGGAUCGAGGGAGAGAAUAUCCUCUGCUUGGUGCAAUUUAGCCCAGGAGGCCCUUGUGUCACUAAACCAACCAAACCAAAUUCAGAGGAGAGUCCUGAUGCUUUUUGUGGUGUACUAUUACAAACAUAUGCCCUGAUCUGUUUCAGACUAACACAUGCAAACAUGCCCUGAUCUGUUAUAAACACAUGCUCUGAUCUGUUUCAUUGUGAGUUACACACA